GUGAGAAUGCAGGGGUGAGUGAGGUAGGAGUGCAGGGGUGAGGAAUGCAGGGGUGAGGUGAGAAUGCAGGGGUGAGUGAGGUAGGACUGCAGGGGUGAGGAAUGCAGGAGUGAGUGAGGUGAGAAUGCAGGGGUGAGUGAGGUAGGACUGCAGGGGUGAGGAAUGCAGGGGUGAGUAGAUAGGAGUGCAGGGGUAAGUGGGGUGGGGGUGCAAGGGGUGGUGAGGUGGGAAUACAGGGGGCAGAAAUAUAGAUAGAUAGUAUCUGGCAUAUUCUCCUGGAUAGCACCAGUCUGCAUGGGUGAAUGAGGUGGGGAUACAGGGGUGAGUGAGGUGGGAAUGUAUGGGGUAGUGAGGUGGGAAUGCAGGGGUGAGUGAGGUGGGAAUGUAGGGGGCAGUGAGGUAGGAAUGCAGGGGGCAGUGAUAUAUAAAUAUUAUCUGGCAUAUUCUCCUGUAUAGCACUAGUCUGCAGGAAUGAGUGAGGUGGGAAUGCAGGGGGCAGUGAGGGUAUGACUUCAGGGCAAUGGUAGGAGUGAACGCUGCACAACAGAGCUGGAUCGGGCCCUUAGAUGGUGCCGAGAGAGUUUGAGGCCUGAGAUGUCGCUGCCUCCGG
rnacentral:lncRNA from 1 species